UGGCGGCGUGCCUAACACAUGCAAGUCGAGGCGAGGGGAGUUCUUCGGAAACAAACCUAGCGGCGGACGGGUGAGUAACACGUGGGCAACCUGCCUUAUAGUGGGGAAUAGCCUCUCGAAAGGGAGAUUAAUACCGCAUAACAUUGCACUUUCGCAUGAAAGAGUAAUUAAAGGAGCAAUCCGCUAUAAGAUGGGCCCGCGGCGCAUUAGCUAGUUGGUGAGGUAACGGCUCACCAAGGCGACGAUGCGUAGCCGACCUGAGAGGGUGAUCGGCCACAUUGGGACUGAGACACGGCCCAGACUCCUACGGGAGGCAGCAGUGGGGAAUAUUGCACAAUGGGGGAAACCCUGAUGCAGCAAACCGCCGCGUGAGUGAUGAAGGUCUUCGGAUCGUAAAGCUCUGUCUUCAGGGACGAUAAUGACGGUACCUGAGGAGGAAGCCACGGCUAACUACGUGCCAGCCGCUGC
rnacentral:rRNA from 1 species